GUUAUUAUAGUUUAUAAAAAUAUUGUUUUGUGGGGACAAAGAUGCCCAGGUUAGUAACA
rnacentral:tRNA from 1 species